AACGAACGCUGGCGGCAGGCUUAACACAUGCAAGUCGAGCGCCCCGCAAGGGGAGCGGCAGACGGGUGAGUAACGCGUGGGAAUCCACCCAUCUCUACGGAAUAACGCAUGGAAACGUGUGCUAAUACCGUAUACGUCCUUCGGGAGAAAGACUUAUCGGAGAUGGAUGAGCCCGCGUUGGAUUAGCUAGUUGGUGGGGUAAAGGCCUACCAAGGCGACGAUCCAUAGCUGGUCUGAGAGGAUGAUCAGCCACACUGGGACUGAGACACGGCCCAGACUCCUACGGGAGGCAGCAGUGGGGAAUAUUGGACAAUGGGCGCAAGCCUGAUCCAGCCAUGCCGCGUGAGUGAUGAAGGCCCUAGGGUUGUAGAGCUCUUUCACCGGUGAAGAUAAUGACGGUAACCGGAGAAGAAGCCCCGGCUAACUUCGUGCCAGCCGCCGCCGUAACAC
rnacentral:rRNA from 1 species